rnacentral:rRNA from 1 species
CUACGGGUGGCUGCAGGCGAGAAGACUUUGCAAUGUGCGAAAGCACGACAAGGUUAAUCCGAGUGGUUUGUGCUAAACGAACCUUUUGACAGUCCUAGAAACACUGUUGAAUAAGGGGUGGGCAAGUUCUGGUGUCAGCCGCCGCGGUAAAACCAGCACCUCAAGUGGUCAGGAUGAUUAUUGGGCCUAAAGCAUCCGUAGCCGGCUCUGUAAGUUUUCGGUUAAAUCUGUACGCUCAACGUACAGGCUGCCGGGAAUACUGCAGAGCUAGGGAGUGGGAGAGGUAGACGGUACUCGGUAGGAAGGGGUAAAAUCCUUUGAUCUAUUGAUGACCACCUGUGGCGAAGGCGGUCUACCAGAACACGUCCGACGGUGAGGGAUGAAAGCUGGGGGAGCAAACCGGAUUAGAUACCCCAGUAGUC